rnacentral:tRNA from 1 species
GGUCCUAUAGUCUAGCGGUUAGGACAUUGGAUUCUGAUUUCUCCGAAAAUCUGAAUUUCCAGUAGCCCCGGUUCGAUUCCGGGUAGGACCU